CUCCACCUUCUCGUCGUCCUCCUCCUCCUCGGGAAGUUAUUCCCUGUGUUUUUCGCCCCCGUCUCUCGUCUUUGCGGGGCACCCCGGCCAGUCUGAACCGGUUGUGACUGAGCGAGUGGGGAAGGAGGAGGAGGCGGAGGAGAUGGAGGUGGAAAGGCGGGCGGUAGGGGCGCUGCUCUCGCUCUCGCGGCUCCCGGCCGGGCCGGGCCGGCCAGGCGGAGGGAGGGCAUCGCGGGGGCCGCUGCCCGGGCCCGGCUCCGGCCCGGAGCCACCGAGGCCGCGGGAGAGCUGGGCACCGGCGGCCACGGGCCCUCUCGGUGCGCACGCGAGCGCGUCCCCCGGCGCCGCGGCGCCCCGCCGCCCACCGCGUGCCCGCGCCGGCCCGCCCAGGACAGUGUGUGCAGUUGGAGGGAGCCCGGGUCUGAAGAUGAGUGCGAGUCUCCCCGGGUCUCCCAGGAUCCUGGACGGCCGGGCGCCCUCCUGGCCGGAGCUGUAUCCCCAGCUGGCAGCGAUCCCAGAGAGACGGGCACCAGAACUUUGUGGAGUCGGUGCUCCUGGGCAGUGAGAAGUGAGGAUGCCAAGUGCUGCCCUUUGUGACAGCUCUGUGGAAAAGGGGGGGCGCCCCUGAAGUGCACACAGUGUGCCGAGGGAGAGAGGCUGCAUCUGAGGACGUUUAGUCUGUAUGGCAGUAGAGCCAUGAAGCUCCCUAGCAUUGUGACAAGUUAGGGGCCAGACAUGAUCAGCCUGGAAUAAUCAUGGAAAAAUUGCAACCCCUGGAGAGAGGAUUCCUUGUUUAAAAUACCAAAACCCCCACCAGGUGGAAGAAGUUAACGGUCUGC